GCUUAGUUGGUAAAGCACAAGGCUCUUAACCUUGUGGAUGUGCGUUCAAGCCCCAU
rnacentral:tRNA from 1 species